GUUAUCUCACAUAUAUAUAUUAUUAUUAUUAAGUGGUCUUGCAUAGCAAGACCACUUAUUGUUAUCUCACAUAUAUAUUAUUAUUAUUAUUAUAGCCAAAAUACAACCGUUUGAAGAUGGCAACCGCCAAAAUACUCUGACCUGUGCCAGGCUGCAGCAGCAAGUCAUGUCAUAGACAGGGCCUUUUGAACACCUGCUAAUGUUUUUAUAAAUGUAUGGUUUAAUGUAACUGUGCAACAACGUUGCAAUUAAAUGUGCCAUAUAAAUGAUAACAGUUACUCCGCCCACUCCACUUGUAGACUACUGGUGGAGGCAAGAACACUUCACACAAUUUCCCCAGAAAUUGUAGCUUUUCUAGUUCUUAUUCUUAUCAUAGCCAAAUUUGCCACCCUAACUCCUCCCACAGUUUUUACACUACAUAGACAAAAAUGUACCAAAACGUGCAGAUUGUUCCCGAUCGGAUUGCUAUUACUUUGUGGAACGUUUCGCCGAAUGGUUCACGGAAUAUCAUCGUUCUUGUGGCGCAAUUUGUCCCAUAGGAAUAAAUGGCAAAGCUAGAGUGGGAGCUGGCAAAAGCUGAAAAAUCAGGACAUGAUUUCUAAACUGCCACCACUCCCUUAUUUUCAGGCCCACCUACACAAAUCUUAUAUCAAAACGUUCAGCUAUCCCUGCUGCCACUAAACAUGUCAACGGCUAAGCCAUAGUCCUGAUAGUUUUCACAAUAUAAUCAUUUGUUUGCAACUAACGCCGUCCAUUGACAUUCAUUGAAACUUCA